AUUCCUAGAGCUUCACCACAAAACCAGGCUGCCAAGGAAGCAGUCGCCUUACCUGUUGAAUACAGAUGCUGCCCCCGAUAGCCAAUAGAGCCAGGACGUAGAGUAAUGGAAUGAUAUUUUCAACGGUGACACUUCGCCAAACUACAUAUGCAUUUGGAUGUGACAGGUCAUAAAAGGACACUGAAUUACAUCAACUGGAGUCAUGCAAGAGGACUGUCCUCAUUCUGAAUCUGUAAACAGGCUUUUGUCAUUGGAGUUCGAGAGCUGUAGAAUGCAAACUUCCUAAGAUAAGUCAGCCUCCGCACUGAGCUUUGUUGGCAUGACUCAAUGCCAUUUCCAAAAACAAAGGUGGAAGCAUUUUAUCUCUGUAUCCUUGAUCCCUAACCUUUUGGUAGAGAAUGCCCUCCAGCUUGUCAAUGUGUUCAUAUAGCACUGAUAGGUCCCCCAUUCUCUAGCCAUAAUAGCUCACUGAAUUAUAUUCUUUUUUUUUCUUUUAUGUACUUGAUCAUGGGGGGAGCCAAUUAUGGUACUGAAACAUUUCAAUUUCUGCAAACUACUCUUUCUAAUACUCUUAUCUACCAAGUUUGUAAAAACAUUGUAACUUUCAAAGGUAAAGCUUUUAAUUGACUAUGAUAAAAAUGAUGCUUGCCUUUUGGCCCCACAGAAUGCUAUAAACCCUUCUAUUCUGAAUUCUAGGUCAAUCUCCUUUUAAGUUUUUGCUGUAGCAAGAAGAAAAAAAAAGAGAUAACAUCAAGCAUAAGCAAAGCUCUGGAGUAACCCAUAUUCUUAUAUAUUACUAGUUGGAAUGGUGGUUACUCUGAAAACAAUUUGGCAUUAGGUAGUAAAAUUGUGCAUACCUCACUACCCAAGAGCUCAUUUUUAGGAUCAUGUCCUAAAGAAAGUCUCAAACAUAUGAAUUAAGAAAUAGGUACAAGGAUGGUCACAGGAACAUGGUCGACGCUAGUAGAGGAUUAGGGACUACACAGAGGUCUAUCAAUAAUGAAAUGGUUCAGAUAAUUACGGUGAAUGUAUACCAUGGAAUGCUCACCAGCAAUAAAAAUGAAUGAUCUGUA